UAGGAUUUGUUUUAGGCUUUAGAAUUUGAUUUAGGAUUUAGGAUUUGGUUUAGGAUUUGUUUAGGGUUUGAUAAAGUUUGGUUUUGGGAUUUGGUUAGGAUUUGGUUUAAGGUUUAGAAUUUAGUUAGGAAUUUAUUUAGGAUUUAGAGUUUGGUUAGAGUUUGAUUUAGAAUUUGGUUAGGAUUUGGUUUAGGAUUUAGGAUUUGGUUUAGGGUUUAGAAUUUGGUUUAAGGUUUAGAGUUUGGUUAUGUUUUAAUUUAGGAUUAGGAUUUGAUUAGGGAUUGAUUUAGGGUUUGAUUAGGAUUUGGUUUAGGAUUUAGGUUUUGGUUUAAGAUUUAGGAUUUGGUUUAGAAUUUAGGAUUUGGUUUAGGAUUUAAGGUUUAAUUAAGGUUUGAUUUAAGAUUUAGGAUUUUAUUAGGGUUUGUUUAGAGUUUAAGAUUUAAUUAGUUUUGGCCUAAAGUUUGAAUGAAGUCCAAUAGGAGUUUAACUAAGAUUAAAUUAAGAUUGAAUUAAGAUGUAUUUGAGAUAUAUUUGUGAUCAUUCUAAUAUUUUUUUAAGAUUUAUUAUUAUUUCCUUGAAAUUUCUUUGAGGUUUCUUUGAAUUUGAUUAAAGCUUACUUAACAUUAUUAUGGUCUAAUUAGAAUUUAAUUAAUAUUCUAUUAUAAUUAGGAUUUUUUUGUUGCAAUUUCCAUUCUACCUUCCACAGCCAAGUAUC
rnacentral:lncRNA from 1 species